GGAAAUGUGCCCGAAACUUAAGGAUUACUUUGAUAGAGUAAGACACAGAGGUUAAAAUCCUCUCAUUUCCC
rnacentral:tRNA from 1 species